rnacentral:rRNA from 1 species
AACGUAGGGGGCGACCGUUAUCCGGAUUUACUGGGAGUAAAGCGCACGUAGGCGGCGCCGUAAGUUGGGCGUGAAAGCUCUCGGCUUAACCGGGAGAGGUCGGUCAAAACUGCGGUGCUUGAGGUUGACAGAGGAGAGUGGAAUUCCCGGUGUAGUGGUGGAAUGCGUAGAUAUCGGGAGGAACACCAGUGGCGAAGGCGACUCUCUGGGUGAUACCUGACGCUGAGGUGCGAAAGCGUGGGGAGCGAACGGG